GCAUGGCCAGCUCUCCAAAUUGCUCCCCAAAUUAUAACCAAGAUCCUCCUGCUCUUGAUACAUGGCUGUAUACACUCCUUCUGCCAUUUAUCCUCUAUAGAGUUCUGUUCAGAAAACUUAGUGAAUUGCCUUCCCUUUGCCUAACUUUCACUGAACAGCGUCAAUCCUAAUGGGCCAAUGUCCAUUCGUAUUUUUGCUUUACUAUUCCAUUGGCACUUGAAAUCACUUCGUGACUCACCAGUGUCCAUAGUCAGAGUUAUUGAUAAUUUGCAAUAUGGUUUGAGAGGCUACUACUAAUAAUAAUACAUUGCAACGUUUCCGUUGAAUAACCGAGAAAUUAACGGAAUUAGCACCGAAGUAGCCGCCUCGUGAGAAACAGAGGUUGUCUAUAUCUGUUGGGAAGGGGAUUCACCAGCAGUAGUUCAUGUUGGUUAUAGGGGCCACGCUACGGAACGAACACGGGAGAAAUGGCCUGGAGGGUAAAGGCUGUAACUGGGUAUAUUCUGUUUAUUAAAAUAAUCCGAGAGAAAGGAGCAACGAGACCAAUAUUAAAACAACUUGGAAAUAAUAAUGGAUAAAAAUUUUAUAUAUACGCUUAUAUUAGAAAAAAAAGAUAAUACAAGAUGCUAAAUAAAGAGAGGAGAAGGAAAGAAAUGAUAGAUCAGUGGAAACAGAAGUAGGCUCCUUGAUCACGUCAAGAAAGCUGAGGAAAAUAAAAUCUAUCUACAUAUAUAAAGUGUAUAUAGACAGAGCCUUCGGGGAAAUAUAUCAACGUAGGUAUCGAGAUCGUCAGAAAGAAAAUAAUGACGAAACCAGGAAAGAGUCAACAAUCCAUCACUUCCAUCUUACUAUUUUUUCCCUUUGCAUGAAAUGAAGACCGUCAAAAUAGUAGACCGAGCUAAUUUUAUUAUUUUGGGGGUUGAAAAAAAAAAUGGCUAGUGGCGGAACAUAUACAUAUCCAAGAAUUGGAAGGAAAAUUCCAAGGACGAACUGUGUCCAUUAAGUUCGAAUCGGGGACUGUUCCACGGUCUGGUCCAGGUAUGAUGUUUGCGUCGCUUAAGCCUCCAAGGACGUUUUCUGAAGCUCUUCAGCUGCAUCGGCAACCGCGUCCUUUUCCUGCUUAAGCUCUGCAGUUGCGGACACCUUUCCAUUGGCACC
rnacentral:sRNA from 2 species